AGAGACAGCAGCCGCCGCGGUAAUACGAAGGGGGCUAGCGUUGCUCGGAAUGACUGGGCGUAAAGGGCGCGUAGGCGGAUUGUUUAGUUAGGCGUGAAAUUCCUGGGCUUAACCUGGGGACUGCGCUUAAUACAGGCAGUCUAGAGUGAGGAAGAGGGUUGUGGAAUUCCCAGUGUAGAGGUGAAAUUCGUAGAUAUUGGGAAGAACACCGGUGGCGAAGGCGGCAACCUGGUCCUUGACUGACGCUGAGGCGCGAGAGCGUGGGGAGCAAACAGGAUUAGAUACCCCGGUAGUCCCUGUCUCUUAUAC
rnacentral:rRNA from 1 species